rnacentral:tRNA from 1 species
GCCUAGCUCAGUAGGUAGAGUAGUGGUUUUGUAAACCGAAGGUCGCCGGUUCAGGUCCGACCG